UACGUAGGGUGCAAGCGUUGUCCGGAAUUAUUGGGCGUAAAGAGCUCGUAGGCGGUUUGUCGCGUCUGCUGUGAAAACCCGAGGCUCAACCUCGGGCCUGCAGUGGGUACGGGCAGACUAGAGUGCGGUAGGGGAGAUUGGAAUUCCUGGUGUAGCGGUGGAAUGCGCAGAUAUCAGGAGGAACACCAUAGGCGGAAGGCAGGAAUCGUCCAGUGG
rnacentral:rRNA from 1 species